AUUGAACGCUGGCGGCAUGCUUUACACAUGCAAGUCGAACGGUAACAGGGAGCUUGCUCCGCUGACGAGUGGCGAACGGGUGCGUAAUGCGUCGGAACGUGCCGAGUAGUGGGGGAUAACGCAUCGAAAGGUGUGCUAAUACCGCAUACGAACUGAGGUUGAAAGUGGGGGACCUUCGGGCCUUACGCUAUUCGAGCGGCCGACGUCUGAUUAGCUAGUUGGUGAGGUAAAGGCUCACCAAGGCGACGAUCAGUAGCGGGUCUGAGAGGAUGAUCCGCCGCACUGGGACUGAGACACGGCCCAGACUCCUACGGGAGGCAGCAGUGGGGAAUUUUGGACAAUGGGCGCAAGCCUGAUCCAGCCAUGCCGCGUGUCUGAAGAAGGCCUUCGGGUUGUAAAGGACUUUUGUCCGGGAGCAAAUGCUGGUGGCUAACAUCCACCGGAGCUGAGAGUACCGGAAGAAUAAGCACCGGCUAACUACGUGCCAGCCGCCGCCGUAACAC
rnacentral:rRNA from 1 species